rnacentral:rRNA from 1 species
GACGAACGCUGGCGGCGUGCCUAAUACAUGCAAGUCGAACGCUUCUUUCCUCCCGAGUGCUUGCACUCAAUUGGAAAGAGGAGUGGCGGACGGGUGAGCAACACGUGGGUAACCUACCCAUCAGAGGGGGAUAACACUUGGAAACAGGUGCUAAUACCGCAUAACAGUUUAUGCCGCAUGGCAUAAGAGUGAAAGGCGCUUUCGGGUGUCGCUGAUGGAUGGACCCGCGGUGCAUUAGCUAGUUGGUGAGGUAACGGCUCACCAAGGCCACGAUGCAUAGCCGACCUGAGAGGGUGAUCGGCCACACUGGGACUGAGACACGGCCCAGACUCCUACGGGAGGCAGCAGUAGGGAAUCUUCGGCAAUGGACGAAAGUCUGACCGAGCAACGCCGCGUGAGUGAAGAAGGUUUUCGGAUCGUAAAACUCUGUUGUUAGAGAAGAACAAGGACGUUAGUAACUGAACGUCCCCUGACGGUAUCUAACCAGAAAGCCACGGCUAACUACGUG